rnacentral:misc_RNA from 1 species
AGCAGCCGCGGUAAUUCCAGCUCCAAUAGCGUAUAUUAAAGUUGUUGCAGUUAAAAAGCUCGUAGUUGAAUUUCGGGAUUGGCGCAUCGGUCGUGCCUCACGGGGUAUGAACUGGUGCAGUCAAUUUCUCACCUUCUGGAGAACCGCGAUGUCCUUAAUUGGAUGCCGCGGGGAACCAGGACCUUUACUUUGAAAAAAUUAGAGUGUUUAAAGCAGGCAUUUUUGCUUGAAUACAUUAGCAUGGAAUAAUAAAAUAGGACGGCAUGGUUCUAUUUUGUUGGUUUCUAGGACCACCGUAAUGAUUAAUAGGGAUAGUUGGGGGCAUUAGUAUUCAAUUGUCAGAGGUGAAAUUCUUGGAUUUAUUGAAGACUAACUACUGCGAAAGCAUUUGCCAAGGAUGUUUUCAUUAAUCAAGAACGAAAGUUAGGGGAUCGAAGACGAUCAGAUACCGUCGUAGUCUUAACCAUAAACUAUGCCGACUAGGAAUCAGACGAUGUUAAUUUUUAAUGUACUCGUUGGC